rnacentral:tRNA from 1 species
GGAGGGGUGACCGAGCGGUCGAAGGUGACGGUCUUGAAAACCGUUGAGGGUGCAAGCUCUCCGUGGGUUCGAAUCCCCCCCCCUCCG